AGCGCUCCAGGAACAGCUUGGAGAGCCCUGGGCUAUAGUAACAGAGUAAGCUGGCAGAAACUCGGAGGAAAAAAACGUGUCGGUACAUAAAUUGCAACAUGGAUAUAGAUAUUAUUCAUGACACCAGCUGGAAGGCAGUUUUUUUUUCUCAGUGCGCCAUUGAUGUGAAUGCAGCAAUAUAAUGAAGGUUAAAUAUGUUAUGACUUCCACUACCUCAGACUCCCA